GACAAAGAGACAUUCAAGGCUUUUUGUGAUGCUGUUCAAACUUGGGAUUUAAGUCCUAAUACGGAAAUCGAAAGAAAAGUUCUUUGUAGAUUUCUGAUAAAUCAAAUAACCGUCCUAAUCAAAGUCGACAAGAUUGAAGAGGAAGAGAUCGAUAUGAUUGUCAAUAGUGUGAAUAAGAGCUUAGAUUUGGGCAAAGGAUCUCUAUCCAAAGCAAUAGCAACGGCUGCUGGUUCAGAAGUUGCAGAAGAAUGUCGACGAGAUCAUCCGUCAGGUGUCUCUGAGGGAAAUGUUGUCGUUACUUCCGCCGGAAAUUUGAAGUGCAAGAAAAUUUGUCACGCAUGUAUACCUCCCUACAAUCAGAAUGACAAAAGUGUUUCCAAAACGGAUAUACAAAAUAUUGUAAUCAAAUGUAUGGAAAAGGCUGAUGAAAACCAAUGCAACUGCGUAGCCUUUCCUGCUUUUGGAACCCUCUACAAAAACUAUCCGGCGCAAAUCACGGCCGGUGGGAUGCUAAAAGGAGUCGACCAGUUCUCAAAAUCCCACACCCAGUCGUCUGUAAAAAGAGUUAUCAUUGUAAUAUAUGGCGACCAACAUACAGGAAUAUCAAAGGCGUUUGUUGACGAGUCUGCCACAUACCGAGGGGCGUGUUCUGGACCCGAGAGAGGGACCCAGGAAUUCUGCCGCCAACAGUACCACAGAGAGCUCCACCCUCCUGAAUACUGGACCGAGUUUACCUCAGACAAAUCUGUCAAGCUUUGGAAGACGGAGUGCGACAAGGGUUAUCAUAAAUUGGUGGAUGUGGAUUCAUCCACACACAAAGCUGUGGAUAAACUUGUCCAAUCAACAUGGCAGUCCCAAAAAGUUGGUCAUGGCCGUGAUGCUCAAGGGUUGUCAGAAUUAAAGUACACUAGUAUUAAAGUUUUGAAAGUACAGAGACUGGAAAAUAUUGACGUUUACGAAAACUACUCCCAUUUUCGAGCACGACUUUUCCACAAAGCUGGUGACAUAGGAGUAUUCGAUCAAUUGGCUUCGAUCCCGCAAAGCACCGGAGACAUAGCAACAACGAAGAGUCUGAAAGAAGACUCUGUCCUUACAAGUGAAUUGUACCAUGAAAUAAACGAGCAUUUCCUCUUCCAUGGAACCAAACCGGACACAUACAAAAAGAUUCUGUCUCAGGGGCUAGAUUUCCGCAUGGCCGGUGAAAAAGGAAUGUUCGGACAAGGGGUUUACCUAGCAGAAAGUUCCACGAAAGCUGACCAGUACACAGACGACAAAUUAGCAAGAAGUAAAGCUGAAAAGAGGAUGUUCUUGGUCAGGUCAUGUCUGGGAAAAAUUCAUCUCGCCAAAACAGCCAACAAACUCCAGAGGCCGCCGUGCUUUCAGACUGGGUGUGAAUCGGACGCCUGUGAACAUUCUGAGCGCCAGCGCUGUGACAGCGUGGUCGGUGACGGAAGCUGGAUCUUCCGAGAGUUUGUCACGUAUAACCACCAUCAGAAUUACCCAGAAUACCUCAUCACUUACAAAAGAGUGUAACGUCAUUGCACAUUUAUUACAGUUUUGGUGGAUUGUUAAAGGUUUGUCGGUGUUUAGUUUCGUGGAUUACAUGUACAUGUACUUGCAUUAUUGACUGUGUGGAUUUUUUUGUUCCGUUCAACUCUGAUGUUAAUUUAGGGGUAAAAGGAUCCCAUAAAAUCCACGUAAAUUAAGUCACCGCGAAUCUUAUGACUCCAGAGUUUCAUUAUAAAUGGUGUGGUAUGAGAAGUAUCUCAUUUAAGUUUGCAAUGUAUUGUAUACCAGUUGCUUCAUAAAAUUGGAUUUUUUCUUUUUGGGUGUAUUUAUUAUAAACUUCCAUGAAUGCAAUAUAAGAUGCAAAAUAUUAAAAGUUUACAUUUAUUAUACUUUUAAAAAUCUAUAUGUUCAAAAAGCCAACUAUGAAGGCAUUGCCAUCUUCGCUAGCCAAAGGUCACCUCCGCUCCUCUACAUUGUAUGAAAAUUUAUUUGCAGUGAAUAUUGCUACAAUACAUUAAUUUCAUGUAAUGGUUGUAAGCACUUUUUUUUUAAAUGUAUGUGUACUUCCUACAAGAAUUGUCUUCUUUUAUGCUUGUUGUCAAAUGUCUUCACAAAUAUCUAUAAUAAAUUAUUAUUUACAUU
rnacentral:misc_RNA from 1 species